UUGGAGGGCAAGUCUGGUGCCAGCAGCCGCAGUAAUUCCAGCUCCAAUAGCGUAUAUUAAAGUUGUUGCGGUUAAAAAGCUCGUAGUUGAACUUCGGGGUCUACCCAUUGGCCAGGCUUAAUUGUCUGCACUGGUGAGAUGGAUCUCUACCUUCUGGGGAACUUUCAUGCCAUUUAUUUAGUGUGAUGGGAAAUCAGGACUGUUACUUUGAAAAAAUUAGAGUGUUUAAAGCAGACUAUCGUCUGAAUACAUUAGCAUGGAAUAAUGAAAUAGGACGGACUGAUUCUAUUUCGUUGGUUUCUAGGAUCACCGUAAUGAUUAAUAGGGAUAGUUGGGGGCAUUAGUAUUCAAUUGUCAGAGGUGAAAUUCUUGGAUUUAUUGAAGACUAACUACUGCGAAAGCAUUUGCCAAGGAUGUUUUCAUUAAUCAAGAACGAAAGUUAGGGGAUCGAAGACGAUCAGAUACCGUCGUAGUCUUAACCAUAAACUAUGCCGACUAGGGAUCGGACGAAGUUAAUUUUAUAAUGACGCGUUCGGCGCCUUACGGGAAAC
rnacentral:rRNA from 1 species